GGAAUCUUGCGCAAUGGACGAAAGUCUGACGCAGCGACGCCGCGUGGGGGAAGAAGGCUUUCGAGUUGUAAACUCCUUUUCUGGGGGAAGAGAACGGACGGUACCCCAGGAAUAAGCCCCGGCUAAAUACGUGCCAGCAGCCGCGGUAAUACGUAUGGGGCGAGCGUUGUCCGGAUUUAUUGGGCGUAAAGGGCGUGUAGGCGGUACGGAAAGUCUUUGCUGAAAUCUCCCGGCUUAACUGGGAGGGGUUGCAAAGAUACUUCCGAACUAGAGGUCAGUAGAGGAGAGCGGAAUUCCCGGUGUAGUGGUGGAAUGCGUAGAUAUCGGGAGGAACACCAGAGGCGAAAGCGGCUCUCUGGGCUGAACCUGACGCUGAGGCGCGAAAGCGUGGGUAGCAAACCGG
rnacentral:rRNA from 1 species